GACGAAUGCUGGCGGCGUGCUUAACACAUGCAAGUCGAGCGGAAAGGCCCUUCGGGGUACUCGAGCGGCGAACGGGUGAGUAACACGUGAGCAACCUGCCCUAGGCUUUGGGAUAACCCCGGGAAACCGGGGCUAAUACCGAAUAGGACCUCCGGCCGCAUGGCUGGGGGUGGAAAGUUUUUCGGCCUGGGAUGGGCUCGCGGCCUAUCAGCUUGUUGGUGGGGUGAUGGCCUACCAAGGCGACGACGGGUAGCCGGCCUGAGAGGGCGACCGGCCACACUGGGACUGAGACACGGCCCAGACUCCUACGGGAGGCAGCAGUGGGGAAUAUUGCACAAUGGGCGGAAGCCUGAUGCAGCGACGCCGCGUGAGGGAUGACGGCCUUCGGGUUGUAAACCUCUUUCAGCAGGGACGAAGCGUAAGUGACGGUACCUGCAGAAGAAGCGCCGGCCAACUACGUGCCAGCAGCCGCUGUAACAC
rnacentral:rRNA from 1 species